rnacentral:lncRNA from 1 species
AUUAUUGAUUCACUAUUGUGCUGAUUACCAUUUGCACCAUUUAUACCAAGUGCAGUUGCAGCAAUAUGCUCUAAUGCUUGCAAGAAUCAGCGGAGAAAAAGAACAUGACAAAUACAAAUGAAAAGAGUGUAGCUUGUGCGUGUAUGGUUUGCUUAUCCUCCUCUCACAGCAUGUUUAAGUUUUUUUUCGUGAGAUCAUGAAAUCAUAAUUUUCUUGAUGUUUUUGGAUAUGGAUGUUCGAUUUGAUUUUAGAAUAGAAGCUACCUGCAUCACAUUCAAAAACCAGAACAAAAGAUCAUCUAUGGAGGAAGGCUAUGCCUGUGAACAGCACCCGGAGAUUUCGCAAUCUGAUGCAAUACUAAUUCAGGGGAAAAGCCCUCGUAGCAUGUACAAACAAGGAGCAAGAAACAAGAAACAGAAGACCACUCUGCACACACUCAAAUCUGAAGAUUUCUAUGAAAUAAAAUGUAGUUAAAACAAGUUCAUCAGAGACGCUGCUUUACAUAUACGAGGAUUUUAUAUAUUAUCAGUCCAUGCAUG